rnacentral:RNase_P_RNA from 1 species
CAGGCUGGCCGGGCGGUCGCGGCACCCCUGAAGGGCGUGUCGAGGAAAGUCCGCACUCCACAGGGCACGACGCCGGGGAAAGCCCGGGAGGGGGUAACCUCUCGGACAGGGCCACAGAAACAAACCGCCGAUGGUAUCAUCCAUCGGCAAGGGUGAAAAGGUGGUGUAAGAGACCACCGGCGCGGGUGGUAACAUUCGCGGCCAGGCAACCCCCGUCGGGAGCAAGGCCAAGCAGGGACGAAGCCCUUCGGGGCGGGAGGCGGCCCGUCUCCCUUGAGUUCCGGGUAGGCUGCCCAGAGAGAUGACCGCCCAGGGGAGCACGCUCCCUGGACAGAAUGCGGCUUAUAGGCCAACCUGCAGG